CCAAAGCACGCAGGACUAAAUUAGACUGAUUGUUAACAUUAAGAAAGAACACUUCAAUUUCGGUUAAAUCCAGUCCCAAAGACACAUUGAGAGUUCAGGCAUGGCAAAACCACUCAAGGCCCAAAAAGUCCCUUCUGUCAGCUGAAACUUACUGAUCAGAUAAAAUCUAACACUGAUCAACAUCACACCAGCACUGCUAACCAGAGUCAACCUCAUUAUUACACGAACAAAUUUUCAUCAUAUGGCACGUUUUUACAUGUUGAAAAAUCGCAUUUUUUUGUCAACAUAGUAUAGUUAGGCAUUUUUUUUUGCGCCAAAAUUCAUGAUGAUUUUUUUUUUCCAAAGAAAACCCUUCUGGAGUGUUUUUCACGCCCUCCUUUACACUAUUUCAUCAUAUGGCAUGUUUUUACAACAUGUUUGAAAAAUCGCAUUUUUUUUUGACAGUAUUGUCAGGACUCCCUCCUCUGUCCCAGCUUCAGCCCCCACCUGACCUCCCUCAUUCUCCAUCUCCCCCUCCUUUCUCCUUUCCCUCUCUCCACCUUCCUGCUGCAGCUUGGCAGAGCUGCUCUGUCCAGCUGCCAUUCAUCACUAAUCACUCAUCAACGGAACUCCGGGCAGCUGCGGUGCAGCACACCUGUGAUCCAUCCACGCCAUAAAAGCCGGUCUCACACUCGACACCCUGCCAGAUAGUAAACUCUGCUGCAGCAUUCUGCUGUCCCAGCUGUCCGGUCUUGCCAAUCCUGCUUCCUGAAACCAGCCUUCGGAUCUCCCCGACCAGACCCUCCGGAAUCUCCCCCCCUCCUGCUCCUGGAUCCCCAACCUGCCCCUGGAUUUCCCUGCCUGCCGAGCUCCCCAGCUCCUUGGAACAUCCUACCUACCUACCCCUCUGGAAGAGGACACUCCUGCCCGCUCUCCACCGCUGACCAGCACCCGAACAGAGGUCGCCUGCCGGGCCGCCGGUUCCCGGUACAGUCACCCCCACCCUCCUCUGUUCAUACAUUGCCUCAGUUACCCUGGACUCUAGUUUCUCCCCACCUAGCCCUCAAUAGUAUUCUACCUUGGUUAUCAAUAAAUCCACCUUUGUUCCUGA